UGCAACACGUGAAGCUUUCAGAGGCUGAAAUCUUCCAACCCAAAGGGUGUGUUUAAAGACACAUGGUGUCCUUAUGUGGCACUUCAUAGUUACCAGAACACAAUAAAAGGAACUGCCGGGCAACACUCAAGCAUGGAAGGUGGGACCAAGUGUGGGCCUUCAGAUCAGUAUUCACACCUUUAGACACCUUGAGCCUGAAGGCCUCCCAGAUCUUAUGACAACAGAGGCGAGAGAUGAGAAGGGGGAUGAAACCCUGUCUUCUGAGUCAUAUUCUCGGAGUUUGCUUCCGUAUCCCCACAGCCUGGUCAAGGCCAGCUUUCCAAGUACAUGGUGCACCAGCCUAUUUUGUACAAAACAGAGAGAAACUCCUCAGGACACAGUGGCCUGUAACGGCCAUAGGAGAAGAGCACCACAAGGAAGUGAGAUGGAGCACUCCUUGGGCAUGAUACAAAGCACUCAAUAGCUGAACGUCUUCUCCUCCUGUUGGCUCUCCUUCCCAGCCUGCCACUUUCCCAUGUGCGCUCAUUCCAGCCUCCCUGGGAUUGCCUUCUCCAAUGAAGUAGUCAAUCGUAAAUGCUUUAGAUUCUGUUUUCUGGGAAACCCAGGUCAAGACAAGCUCCCUCUAAGAUUGGGUUUACAGUGUUCUCUCUGGAUCAAUCAGGAUAUUUGUUAGAAAUGUAGAUUCCAGGGCCCUUCCCCAGACCAAUGAUUAAAAUCUCUGGAUUUCGAAUGUAAGACUGUGCAUUCUAAACAAAUUCUCCUGGUGAUUCUUAUGCACAUUAUAAUCUGAGAACAUGCAAUCUAGUCUAGAUUGAGGAAGAGGGCAGGGUAUAUAAUCAAUUUUUGGUUUCCUAUUUCUUGGAAAAAUGGAAAGAUCUCCAGGUAUGAUUAGCAAACCCAACUGUCACCCCUCAACCUUUCUACAUUUUCUGCCAUAGGUGAAUGGUUCCAGACAGUCAUGAUUGCAAAAGAAAUAUUAAAAUCCCUUCAUAAAAGUCAGUUGUGCACCUGGACUCAGGGUUACCAUGGAGAUUCAAGGCAGCAAUCUCACUGAGGCUGGCUCCGUGCCUUCUCCCACCCCAAAGUUACCUAUGAGGAAUUCCUGAGUUUUACUUUGGUUCAUUUAACAUCUGGAGUUCAGAGACAUGAAUACUUGAGCAGGCAGGGGCUUCGUGAGAACUAAAGCAGUGUUAGAAGAGCCUGCAUGACUGCCUUAAUGAGGAAGACUCUGCUGGAGCUGGGAUCAGGGUCUCCAGGAGAUUCCAGUCCAUCAUCUCUCUUGGUGAGCAAAAGAAGCCACUGGUGGUCCUUGCAAGUAUAAGUGCAAUGAAAACAGGAUUAUGGCGAUGGAUGACAGUGUGAGAGAGAAAAGAAUUAUCACCUUCUUCUCCUUCCCCAAAUAAUUCAUUCUCUAAGUUCAGCAGUCCAACAAGAAUGGCUUCUCAUGCCAGAGUAGGCUCUUCAUGUACUUAGGAGGGCCACUGGGUGUGUAGAGAAUAAAUUUGCUUUUAAUUUUCUGUCUGCUAGCUCCUCCUUGGUGAAGCUGCCUACUGGUUCCCAAACCUAAAUUGGCUCUUCACUCUCCUGGGAACAUUGAACUGUAUCCAAUCCUUCUAAAUUUUGAUCUACUCAUUUGAACAAUGGCCACCUUGCCUUUGCUUUUUUGAAUUGUGAGAAUAAAAUGAGGCUCAUAAAAGAAUCAUGAUAUAUAAUAUGAAUUCAAGAAAUUGUAGAUACUAAUCCUCAUCCUCUCCAUCAUCAUGAUCAUCAAACAGAACCACGAAGACCAGAACAGGGUAUAUGUCUGUGGAAGUGCUGACUGUUUUGUGUUAAUUUCUGUAACAUAAGUAGGUGUGGGGGGGUAAAAGCUGCAAUAAGCAGAUUGUAGUUCGGAAUUAAGACCUUUAUGAGAGGUGAACAUCCAUGAACUAUUAACUCAGGAGGUGGUUUGUAAAUUCCUUGUCUAUAUAGUCAUGUGUCUGUAAAUUGGAAGCCUCUGGUGGUGAGAGUGGUGUCAUUGGUGGUGGUGAUUUUACACUAGAUAACAUUAAAGACAAUUUCCAAACUAGCAAUUAUAGGGUUUUAUUAAACAUUAUUCUGAAUACAUUUAUAAACAUGGUUAAAUUUACAGGGACACUCUGAGGGCAAGGUCCAUACUAUAGUUGAAUCUUUGACCCUUGUACCUGGUGAAAUACCCAGCCAUUAUUAUGCCCUUAGUAAAUGUUAAUUGCUAAGUGAAUACAUAAAUAAAUAAAUGGGUGACUAAUGGAAUAAUAAAAUGUGACAAUAUGUAUAAAACAGGUUUGUUCAUAUUUCUGAAAAUCUGUGAAGCUAAUUUUGUUCUUGGUGCUCUCUGCUUUUUCCUUCCAUACUCAGAUCCACCUGUCCCUUCCGUCUCUUGAUAGAGCUCCUUCCAAAAUUCUCAUAUUUCUCAGAUAUUUUCACCCCCCCAACCAAAAUCUUCAAGGAAAGGUCAGGGAGCAUCUUUCAACUUAAGUAGUGAAAGAGCUCUUGUGAAUCCUAAUUGCAACAAUUAGUUUUAUGUGUCAACUUGACUGGGCCAUGAGGUGCCCAGAUAUUGGGUCAAACUAUAUUCUGGGGAUUACGGUGCAGGUGUUUCUGAAUGAGAUUAACAUGUGAGUGAGUAAAGCAGAUUGCUCUCCCUACUG